AUUGAACGCUGGCGGCAGGCUUAACACAUGCAAGUCGAGCGGAGAUGAGGUGCUUGCACCUUAUCUUAGCGGCGGACGGGUGAGUAAUGCUUAGGAAUCUGCCUAUUAGUGGGGGACAACACUCCGAAAGGAAUGCUAAUACCGCAUACGUCCUACGGGAGAAAGCAGGGGAUCUUCGGACCGUGCGCUAAUAGAUGAGCCUAAGUCGGAUUAGCUAGUUGGUGGGGUAAAGGCCUACCAAGGCGACGAUCGGUAGCGGGCCUGAGAGGAUGAUCCGCCACACUGGGACUGAGACACGGCCCAGACUCCUACGGGAGGCAGCAGUGGGGAAUAUUGGACAAUGGGGGGAACCCUGAUCCAGCCAUGCCGCGUGUGUGAAGAAGGCCUUAUGGUUGUAAAGCACUUUAAGCGAGGAGGAGGCUACUGAGACUAAUACUCUUGGAUAGUGGACGUUACACGCAGAAUAAGCACCGGCUAACUCUGUGCCAGCAGCCGCGGUAAAAC
rnacentral:rRNA from 1 species